GCCCGCCUAGCUCAAUCGGAUAGAGCGUCAGACUCUUAUCCAUGACCAGCUUGGUUUGGGACAAUCUGAAGGCUGCGAGUUCGACCCUCGCGGUGGGCU